AUUGAACGCUGGCGGCAGGCUUAACACAUGCAAGUCGAGCGGGGUGAUGGUGCUUGCACUAUCACUUAGCGGCGGACGGGUGAGUAAUGCUUAGGAAUCUGCCUAUUAGUGGGGGACAACAUCUCGAAAGGGAUGCUAAUACCGCAUACGUCCUACGGGAGAAAGCAGGGGAUCACUUGUGACCUUGCGCUAAUAGAUGAGCCUAAGUCGGAUUAGCUAGUUGGUGGGGUAAAGGCUUACCAAGGCGACGAUCUGUAGCGGGUCUGAGAGGAUGAUCCGCCACACUGGGACUGAGACACGGCCCAGACUCCUACGGGAGGCAGCAGUGGGGAAUAUUGGACAAUGGGGGGAACCCUGAUCCAGCCAUGCCGCGUGUGUGAAGAAGGCCUUAUGGUUGUAAAGCACUUUAAGCGAGGAGGAGGCUCUUUUGGUUAAUACCCAAGAUGAGUGGACGUUACUCGCAGAAUAAGCACCGGCUAACUCUGUGCCAGCAGCCGCAGUAA
rnacentral:rRNA from 1 species